CUCAGGAUGAACGCUAGCGGCAGGCUUAACACAUGCAAGUCGAGGGGCAUCGGGAGUAGCAAUACUUGCCGGCGACCGGCGCAAGGGUGCGUAACGCGUGAGCAACAUGCCCGUAUCAGGGGGAUAAUCCAUGGAAACGUGGUCUAAUACCCCAUAGUAAUUAUGUAAGGCAUCUUAUAUAAUUUAAAGCUUUGGUGGAUACGGAUUGGCUCGCGUGACAUUAGCUGGAUGGUAAGGUAACGGCUUACCAUGGCUACGAUGUCUAGGGGUUCUGAGAGGAAGGUCCCCCCACACUGGAACUGAGACACGGUCCAGACUCCUACGGGAGGCAGCAGUGAGGAAUAUUGGACAAUGGAUGGAAAUCUGAUCCAGCCAUGCCGCGUGCAGGAAAAGACGGCCCUAUGGGUUGUAAACUGCUUUUGUAUGGGAGCAAUAAGGGCUACGUGUAGUCCGAUGAGAGUACCAUACGAAUAAGCACCGGCUAACUCCGUGCCAGCAGCGGC
rnacentral:rRNA from 1 species